CGUGUAGGCGGUUUGGUAAGUCGGAUGUGAAAGCCUUCUGCUUAACAGAAGAAGUGCAUUCGAUACUGCUUUACUUGAGUAUGGGAGAGGAGAGUGGAAUUCCCAGUGUAGAGGUGAAAUUCGUAGAUAUUGGGAGGAACACCCGUGGCGAAGGCGACUCUCUGGACCAAUACUGACGCUGAGACGCGAAAGCGUGGGGAGCAAACA
rnacentral:rRNA from 1 species